UCGGGUAUGGUGUAGUGGCUAUCAUGGCUGGCUCCCAAGAUUUGAGUACUCAGCAGCCCGGGGUUCGAUUCCCCGUUACCGAG